AGUGAACGCUGGCGGUAGGCCUAACACAUGCAAGUCGAACGGCAGCACAGUAAGAGCUUGCUCUUACGGGUGGCGAGUGGCGGACGAGUGAGGAAUACAUCGGAAUCUACUUUUUCGUGGGGGAUAACGUAGGGAAACUUGCGCUAAUACCGCAUACGACCUACGGGUGAAAGCAGGGGAUCUUCGGACCUUGCGCGAUUGAAUGAGCCGAUGUCGGAUUAGCUAGUUGGCGGGGUAAAGGCCCACCAAGGCGACGAUCCGUAGCUGGUCUGAGAGGAUGAUCAGCCACACUGGAACUGAGACACGGUCCAGACUCCUACGGGAGGCAGCAGUGGGGAAUAUUGGACAAUGGGCGCAAGCCUGAUCCAGCCAUACCGCGUGGGUGAAGAAGGCCUUCGGGUUGUAAAGCCCUUUUGUUGGGAAAGAAAAGCAGCAGGUUAAUACCCCGCUGUUCUGACGGUACCCAAAGAAUAAGCACCGGCUAACUUCGUG
rnacentral:rRNA from 1 species